GUGGGGAAUAUUGGACAAUGGGCGCAAGCCUGAUCCAGCAAUGCCGCGUGCAGGAAGAAGGCCUUCGGGUUGUAAACUGCUUUUGUACGGAACGAAACGGUCCGGGUUAAUACCCUGGGCUAAUGACGGUACCGUAAGAAUAAGCACCGGCUAACUACGUGCCAGCAGCCGCGGUAAUACGUAGGGUGCAAGCGUUAAUCGGAAUUACUGGGCGUAAAGCGUGCGCAGGCGGUUUUGUAAGACAGGCGUGAAAUCCCCGGGCUCAACCUGGGAAUUGCGCUUGUGACUGCAAGGCUGGAGUGCGGCAGAGGGGGAUGGAAUUCCGCGUGUAGCAGUGAAAUGCGUAGAUAUGCGGAGGAACACCGAUGGCGAAGGCAAUCCCCUGGACCUGUACUGACGCUCAUGCACGAAAGCGUGGGGAGCAAACAGGAUUAGAUACCCCAGUAGUCC
rnacentral:rRNA from 1 species